UCGGAGCAUAAGUUGUUGAGUUGAAACGCUGAGAGAUCAAUCACGCAGUGCCUUGGAGAUAUGGCAAGCUACGAAGAGCGUGUGGUGGAUGCCUUGGCGGUUGGAAGCGAUGAAGGGCGUGGACAGCUGCGAAAAGCCAGAGGGAGCCGCUAACAGGCCGUGAUCUCUGGAUCCCCGAAUGGGACAACCCACCUGACUCCGGUCAGGUACUUCUCGCUGAAUCUAUAGGCGAGAGAGAGCAAACCCAGGGAAGUGAAACAUCUCAGUACCUGGAGGAAAAGAAAUCAACCGAGAUUCUCCUAGUAGCGGCGAGCGAACGGGGACCAGCCCAAACCGUCUGUCGCGAGACAGCGGGGUUGUAGGGCCCGCGAUGUGAGACCUCAAAGAUCCGUAGACAGGCUUGGAACGGCCGGCCAGAGAGGGUGACAGCCCCGUAUGCAACUUGAUGAGGCUC
rnacentral:rRNA from 1 species